rnacentral:rRNA from 1 species
AUUGAACGCUCGCGGGAUGCUUUACACAUGCAAGUCGAACGGCAGCGCGGACUUCGGUCUGGCGGCGAGUGGCGAACGGGUGAGUAAUGUAUCGGAACGUGCCCAGUAGCGGGGGAUAACUACGCGAAAGCGUAGCUAAUACCGCAUACGCCCUACGGGGGAAAGCAGGGGAUCGUAAGACCUUGCACUAUUGGAGCGGCCGAUAUCGGAUUAGCUAGUUGGUGAGGUAACGGCUCACCAAGGCGACGAUCCGUAGCUGGUUUGAGAGGACGACCAGCCACACGGGGACUGGAACCCGGCCCAGACUCCUAGGGGGGGCAGGAGGGGGGAAUUUUGGAAAAUGGGGCAAACCCUGACCCAGCCACCCCGGGUGGGCGAUGAAGGCCUUCGGGUUGUAAAGCACUUUUGGCAGGAAAAAAACGUCGCGGGCUAAAACCCCGUGGAACGGACGGUACCUGCAGAAAAAGCACCGGCUAACUACGG